CUGAGCAGGAAGCCCAACAUGGGGCUCGAUCUCAGGACCCUGGGAUCAUGACCUGAAUGUCGUGGCAGCAGAUGCUUAACGGGCUGAGCCGCCCAGGCUGCUUUAACCAAAUUCCACAGACUGGAUGGGUUAAACAAGAAAGAUUUCUCACAGUUCUGAAGGCUGGGAAGUACGACAUCAGGGCGGCAACAUGGUACCGGUCUGAGCAGUGAAAAUGAAGGGUUGGAGAGCAUGUGCCACAGACCCUGGGGACUAGAACCACAACUUGGACCCAUUCUCCAUGACUUCUUGGCCUAUGAUCCUUCAGCCAGAAUCCACAGUUAUCUAAGAUGGACUUUAGCCAAGCUUCUCAGCACCAACGUGUAACUUCAUAAACCACAUCCAAGGUAAACAGACAAACCAAAGGACUUCGAAUGAGCUUGCCACUCAUUUUCCAUUUCUUUGGUCAUUUUUAUUUUACACUUUCUUGAACGCUGAUAAAUAAUCACCAAAC
rnacentral:lncRNA from 1 species